UUCCUAACUCUGCCCCCUCCCAU
rnacentral:miRNA from 1 species